GGUGGCUCAGUGGUAGAGCUCUUGCCUUGCAUGCAGGAGGCCCUGGGUUUGACUCUUCAGCACCA
rnacentral:tRNA from 1 species